UCCUACGGGAGGCAGCAGUAGGGAAUUUUCCACAAUGGGCGAAAGCCUGAUGGAGCAACGCCGCGUGCAGGAUGAAGGCUUUAGGGUCGUAAACUGCUUUUAUGUGCGAUGAAUUUGACAGUAACACAUGAAUAAGGAUCGGCUGACUACGUGCCAGCAGCCGCGGUUAUACGUAGGAUCCAAGCGUUAUCCGGAAUUACUGGGCGUAAAGAGUUGCGUAGAUGGCAUUGUAAGCAAGACAUUAAAUCGUGUGGCUCAACCAUACAACCAUGUCUUGAACUGCAAAGCUAGAGAGCGAGAGGGGUAGAUGGAAUUACUAGUGUAGGAGUGAAAUCCGUAGAUAUUAGUAGGAACACCGAUAGCGUAGGCAGUCUACUGGCUCGUUUCUGACACUGAGGCACGAAGCGUGGGGAGCAAAUGGGAUUAGAUACCCCAGUAGUCCACGCUGUAAACUAUGGAUGCUAGCUGUGAACCGUAUCGACCCGGUUCGUAGCGAAGCUAACGCGUUAAGCAUCCCGCCUGUGGAGUACGGCCGCAAGGCUAAAACAUAAAGGAAUUGACGGGGACCCGCACAAGCGGCGGAGCGUGUUGUCUAAUUCGAUGGUAAGCGAAGAACCUUACCCAGGCUUGACAUCCCGAGAAGUUUGUCGAAAGACAAAUGUGCUUUAUUGAACUCGGUGACAGGUGUUGCAUGGCCGUCGUCAGCUCGUGUCGUGAGAUGUUUGGUUAAGUCCAUCAACGAGCGCAACCCUUAUAGUUAGUUGAAUUUUUCUAGCUAGACUGCCCUGGUAACAGGGAGGAAGGAGGGGAUGACGCCAGGUCAGUAUGAUCCUUAUGUCUGGGGCUACAAACACGCUACAAUGGCCAGUACAACGGGUAGUGAAGCCGCGAGGCGGAGCCAAUCCACAAAGCUGGUCUCAGUUCAGAUUGCAGGCUGCAACCCGCCUGCAUGAAGCUGGAGUUGCUAGUAACCGCAGGUCAGCUAUACUGCGGUGAAUACGUUCCCGGGCCUUGUACACACAU
rnacentral:rRNA from 1 species